CUCCUGUAAUGAUGAAAAAAAACAAAGAGGAAAUUUUAGCAAUAAGAAUUAUGAGUUGCUAGUUUGUCCUCUUAUUCCUUUUUUUUUGUGUGUUAUUGUACUUACACUUUGGUACCAAUAUCCCAGAACAUUGUCCCGAAAAUGAGUGCUAUAAAGGUUGUGAUGAAUUUUGUACGCCAAGGAAGAGAACAGCAGCAUACAUAGAUCCCAUAGCAUUAACCAGAUCUUGGUUCCUACUCCUGUAAUGAUAAAAAACAAAGAGGAAAUUUUAGCAAUAAGAAUUAUGAGUUGCUAGUUUGUUUCUUACUCCUUCUUUUUUUUGUGUGUGUGUGUUAUUGUACUUACACUUUGGUACCAAUAUCCCAGAACAUUGUCCCGAAAAUGAGUGCUAUAAAGGUUGUGAAGAUAAAUCUGACUGCAGUGUAAGCCGGAUUACGCCAAUAUGACCAGUGUUGUUUCCAGAGGCAAGCCAUACACUGGGUCCAAAAAGGCUGUGAGAAUUCAGAAUCAAAAUGCAGGUCACUUGUACCAGGUCGUGGCACGCUUAGUUCAUCGAUCAAGGCUUUGUUCCUCCUGUAGAGAUCUGACUUCUUGUACAAGUCAGUAAAAUCAACCCCUAAUGCCAUUUCUUGAGAUGAGGCUGUGACUUCUAACAUCCAAGUUGCUGGAUUGUAACCUUCCACUAUUUUGCUUACUCCAGGUAUCGACUGAAAUCGUAACAAAAUCUAAGCUUAGUUCUUGAUCAUAGAAACUCAGUAAAAGGAACUUAUUUUGUAUAAAGAAACUUACCUCAAAAUAUUUUAUCAAAUGGCAUGAUUGGCGGCCUAAUGGACCAACGUAUAUCUCUUGUCCUCCUCGUUUCAUUAAAAACAACUGUAAAGAUGUAUUUUUCAUAUUAGUAUCUGAUAUCUAAAGGGAAAGGCAUAAGAGAAACUAGAAAUAGAUGCAAAAGGGUUUCAAUUCACCUCGUCGAAAGCCUCAAAAAUGUCAAUGCUAGGCUGAUGAAUGGUACAAACAACGGUUCUUCCAGUAUCGACGGUGUUCCUAACAGCUCUCAUCACAAUGGCAGCAGCUCUUGCAUCUAACCCUGAAGUUGGUUCAUCCAUAAAAAUGAUAGAGGGGUUUGCCACUAGUUCAACUGCAAUCGUCAACCUUUUACGUUGCUCAGUUGACAGACCAUUGACUC
rnacentral:lncRNA from 1 species